rnacentral:rRNA from 1 species
CAGCAGCCGCGGUAAUACGAAGGGGGCUAGCGUUGUUCGGAAUUACUGGGCGUAAAGCGCGCGUAGGCGGGUCGUUAAGUCGGGGGUGAAAUCCUGAGGCUCAACCUCAGAACUGCCUUCGAUACUGGCGACCUUGGAGUCCGGGAGAGGUGAGUGGAAUUCCUAGUGUAGAGGUGAAAUUCGUAGAUAUUAGGAAGAACACCAGUGGCGAAGGCGGCUCACUGGCCCGGUACUGACGCUCAUGUGCGAAAGCGUGGGGAGCAAACAGGAUUAGAUACCCUGGUAGUCCACGCCGUAAACGAUGGAUGCUAGCCGUCGGACAGCUUGCUGUUCGGUGGCGCAGCUAACGCAUUAAGUAGACCGCCUGGGGAGUACGGUCGCAAGAUUAAAACUCAAAGG